GACAGAGGAUGCAAGCGUUAUCCGGAAUGAUUGGGCGUAAAGCGUCUGUAGGUGGCUUUUUAAGUCCGCCGUCAAUCCCAAGGGCUCAACCCUGGACAGGCGGUGGAAACUACCAAGCUGGAGUACGGUAGGGGCAGAGGGAAUUUCCGGUGGAGGCGGUGAAAUGCGUAGAGAUCGGAAAGAACACCAACGGCGAAAGCACUCGUGCUGGGCCGACACUGACACUGAGAGACGAAAGCUAGGGGAGCGAAUGGGA
rnacentral:rRNA from 1 species